GACGAACGCUGGCGGCGUGCUUAACACAUGCAAGUCGAACGGGCCUGUCUUCUUUUUUGGGGGUGGGUUGAGUGGCGAACGGGUGAGUAUCACGUGAGUAACCUGCCCUUCGGUCCUGGAUAACCGCUUGAAAGGGCGGCUAAUACGGGGUGGUCCGGUUGGUCCGCAUGGGCUGGUCGGGAUAGAUUCACUGUUUUUGGUGUUUCGGCGGGGGAUGGGCUCGCGGCCUAUCAGCUUGUUGGUGGGGUGAUGGCCUACCAAGGCGGUGACGGGUAGCCGGUCUGAGGGGGUGGGCGGCCACACUGGGACUGAGAUACGGCCCAGACUCCUGCGGGAGGCAGCAGUGGGGGGUAUUGCACAAUGGGCGGAAGCCUGAUGCAGCGACGUCGCGUGAGGGAUGGAGGCCUUCGGGUUGUGAACCUCUGUUUCCGGUGGUGAAGGCCCUGUCCGUGUGGUGGGGUUGACGGUAGCCGGGGAUGAAGCGCCGGCUAACUACGUG
rnacentral:rRNA from 1 species